rnacentral:misc_RNA from 1 species
GUGUGGUUCCUGUCAUCUUUAUUUAUGUUAAUAUUGUUGUUGUGAGUCAUUCUCGCUUAAACUCGGUUUAUAUGAACCAAUAUAAACAUAAAUAAAGAUGACAGGAACCACACCAAAUUGGACAAUCAAGGCCAGAGCUCCGAAACACAGCUUACAGCAUCACUUAUUACACUAUUCCUGAGAUUGGCAUUACUAAAAUUAUCAGCAUUUCCAAGCCGAGGUCCUGAAACUGUCAAUCCAGCAGCUGCAGCAUACGAGGCAUCAUCUCCAUUGAUUGUGAUGGUUGGUGAGAUUCGAAGAUUCAUCGGUUGAGGUGAAGUUAGAUGAUUUUAAACAAGUUGAUUCAAGCUAUAGGUUAAGGAACCUCGAGUAACCAUAUCUUCAGCCAGCUUCACCUUGGCUCUCAAAGCCCCUACAUCUGAUUUAAGCACUCGAUUAUUUGUAUUAGCAUCCCGAUAUUGCUGAGUAGCAUCUGAAAGCUGCUUGUACAAAGACGCAUUCUCUCCUGAAAGUUCGUCAACCUGCGAUUCAAGCUCCUGCAAAUGUGCCUGUUUUCUUUUUCUUGAUCGUCUAGCCGACUCCCGGUUUGAAACCAUCCUUCUAAUGCGUCUUAAAUCAGUAGGAUUGGUGCUCUGUUCACAAGGACCAGCUUCUAUCUUCACAUCUUCAUCCUCUGAGGAACCACUGCUACUUACCCUUCCUUGGUUUGGAUUAUUAUUUGCCGAAAAUGGACUCCCAACAAAAACUGAUGACUGGGCAUCAAUGAGUGCUGAUGAAAUGCAGGAUUGCUUGGGGCUUGUAUUUUGAGACCAUAACUCAAAUGAUUCAGGAAGCCCACAACUUGACAAACCAUUUAUCGUUUCCAGAGUUUUGAAGCAGAAAGAGAGAUCAUCGCCACAGAAGCCUUCAAACUCAGCAGAAAAAGAGUUGUCACGAUUUUCCUUCAUUUCUUCACCUUUAAUUUGGGUUUUCUUGAUAACCUCUUGGAGGGCCAGCUCUGACUCGCUUCGCUUCAUGUCACCUGCUGCUUUCCUCCGCUCCAUUCCUUGCUAGUUCCUACUACUAUUGCCACUGCUAGUAUGAGAG